UUACAUCCGUUUCCCCUAGAAGUCAAACUAUGAAGCACUUUAUAGUCCAUAAACUAAGCAGAUGUAAAUAUAUUACAUAGAUAUAGUCUGGUCUUGCAAAAUUAUGAACAUGGCCCUUUGAGAAGCUCAUCAUUGACAAGAACAACACCAACCACCAUACCUUACAGAUAUGUGAAAAUAUAGACCGUAUUUCUGCAGUGUGGCAUUACAAGGAGAUCAAAGGUCGGAGACACUGACUGCUAAUGGAAGAACUGCUACUUGAAAAGCACUAUCCGUCCAUUUUCUCAUCAGAUCCUCAACAACUCUACAAGGUAAAGCUGUCUGCAAUUGAAUGUUAAGUUGAUGGUUCAAAGGCAGCACCAGAAGAUGAGGCACAUUCCUGAGAGCUGGAACCCUGGGCUCCAUAAAAUUUCAGUUUCCCACCAUCAACUGCGGUCCCAGAAGCAGACGAUCCUCCUUCUGAUGAAUCAUCAGACAGUCAGUAGUCACCGAACUUAUGCCACGAUACCUACAUCAUCUGCCCAGCUUCACCUCAUCUCGUAGGCAUUUUAUCAGCUUACCUCAUGGCAAGAAGGGUGAGUACAGUACUAUAAGACAUAUUGAGAGGGAGAGAAGCAGCAUUUUCACAUAACCUUUAUUAUAGCAUAUUGUUAUAACUGUUCUAUCUUAUUAGUUAUUGCUGUUCAUCUUGUACUGUGCCAAAUUCAUAAAUGUAACUCAUCAAAGGUCUGUAUGUAUAGGAAAAAGCAGUAUACAUAGGGCUCAUCACUAUCCAUGGGUUCAGGCACCCACUAGGGGUUUGGAACAUAUCCACCUCAGAUGAGGGGACAAUUGAAAUGCAAAUAGAUUUGUUUUUGUAACUUCUAAAGUUUAUCCGCAAGAAUAGGUGCACAUGAAUAACAAAAACAUAUUUAAAAGGAAGAAAUUGGAGGGGAACCUUACAGUGAAAGAUAGUAAAUUGUAACAUAAAGUUGCAUUCAAAUAAACAUGCAGAACCUGAAACAGAAUAGAUGGAAUAACUAAAUGGACCCCCAAAGCAAGGAUAUGUCUAUUUUCUGUACCUGGGGAAAAAAACCGAGCAUUUAAAAAUAAUGUGAAUGAAGGAUUAUCCAAUAAAUGAUGCUAGAAUAAUAUUUACUUAAAAAAGUAAGUUAAUCCUUUACCUCUCACCAUACACUGAAAGAAAUCCCAGGAAGAUCAAAAAUCAAAAAGAUAAGCACACCAUAAAAGCACUAGAGGAAACCUUAGUUAACUAUUCAUGUAAUCUGGGUAUGUGGUGGGUCUUUUCAGGCAGUACCCCAAGACAGAAACCAUGAAAAAUGUUUAGAUAUGGAACUACAUGAAUAUCAAAUUAUGCAUAAAAAGUUAUCAUAAACAGAAUGAAAAGCAAAUAGUAAAACUGAGAAAAAUAUUUAUAACAUAUCAGACAAAUAGGAAAUUACUAUCUUCAAUAUGUAAAGAAUCAUCACAAGUUUAUAAGAAAAAAAUAAACACUAUAAUAGAAAUAAAGGGGCAAAGGCUAUUAAUAGGCAGUUUACAGUGAAGAAAUAGAAAUGGCAAUACAAAUAUGAAAAUGUAUUUAAUAUUCCUUAUAAUCAAAGAAGUGAAAGUUUAAAUAAGUUACCCCAAGGAAUAAGAUAUUUUUUUACUUUAUAAAUGUCUAUAUUCCUGAAUAAAUUUAAAGAAGGACAUUCAACUAAAAUAACAAGAAUAAAGCAUGUUACUGUGAAAUCUGUGUAAAUCUGUAAAGCACUUACCAUCUUUUUGAUGGUAAGGCAGCCUAGGAUUUUUCUAUCUUGUGCCUUGAGAGUGACCUAUAGGAGUAUAUUUAUUGGAAAAAUUAUCUGCCAAUAAAUACAUCGUUAAGAGAAAAAAGUAGCCAAUAGAUCAGAAUGUGUGAUAAGACAUUUCACAUUUUGGCAAAAAUAUAUGUAGAAAUAUAAAAAACCAUGUAGAAGAAAAUCUUAAUACAUAUAAAAUAAAAUGUUGACAGGUGUUGUCUCUAGGUAUUAGAAAUAUGGGUAGUGAAAAUUUUUUAAAUUUAAAUUUAAACAUUUUUCUUACUUGUGCUUGUCUAUUUCCUAAUUUUUCAGUCAUGAGUUCGUAUUGCCCUUUAAAAAAAUGUAAGUGUAAUGCAUGUACAUAAAAGUAUAUAACUUGUAAGCACCAGCUUGAUGAGUACAUUGCAAAGCGAGCACAGCAUGCCUGUUGUGUUAGUUCCUAUGGAGACACCAAGAACCUCUCGCAUCAUCAGGUGCUGCGUAGCGGUUCCUUUCCCCAAUUUAUCCCUUUCCUCUUGAAUGUCACUAUAAGCAGCAAGGAAUGACCAGGCUGCACCUUCUACACUUUGCCUGGAGAUUUCCUCUGCUAACUAAAUAUCCAAGUUCACAGCUCACAAGUUCUACCCUCCACCCAACAGCAGAACUCCAUUCAGCCAACUUUUUUCAUACUUUAUACAUGGGUUGCUUUUUCUCCGGUUUCUAAAGACAUGUCCCUCCCCAGAAGUACCUUUAAUGUUUGCCUUUCGUUCGAGACUCUAUUUAUGAUAACAUACGUAGUUUUAAGAGGUUAGAGAUUUCCCUUUCUUGACCUUCACUUCUCUCUGAGCUUUAACCAGAAUCACCUUUAAAGCCCAUAUUUCCACCAUCUCUUCAAGACAACCUAGGUUUUUUCUAUCUUUUGCCUCAAAACUCUUCUAGCUUACACCUAUUAUCCAAUUACAAAGCCACUUCCAUAUUUGUAGGCAUUGGCUACAGCACCACCCCACCCCUUAGUACCAAAAUCUGUACUUGUUUCUCUAGAGCUGCAAUAACAAAUUACCACAAACACGAUGGUGUGAAACAACAGGAAGGUAUUGCCUCACAGAUCUGGAAGACUGAAGUCUGAAAUCCAGGUCCUCAGCAGGACCAUGCUUCCUCUGAAGGCUCUCGGACUGAAUCCUUCCUUGCCUCUUCCAGCUUCUGUGGCUGCAGGCAUUUCUUGGCUGGUGGCGGCAUCCCUUCAGUCUCUGACUCUGUCUUCACAGGAGUCUUCCCAUGACCCUCUCCACUCUGUGUCUGUGUGUCUUCUCCUUUUCCGUUUCUUACAAGGACAUCCAUCGUGGGCUUCAGGGCCCACCCUAAUCCAGGUGAUUUCUCGUCAGAUCCUUACCUUAAUUACAUCUGCAAAGACCCUUAUUCCAAAUAAGGUUGGGGUUCCAGGUGGAUAUCUUUUGGGGGAUACAAUCCAGCCCGUAUUACCAAUAUGGCUGCCAUCCAGGUCAAGAAAUAGAAUGUCCUCAUGUCCCCUGCCAGUCUCUACCCCUCUCUGAUCUCCACAGAUAAUUAUUAUCCCUCCUAAGAGGAGAGGUCAUUUUUAACCUAUUUAAAAAUUAUAUAAAUAGAAUCAUACACUAUGUUGUCCUUUUUUUUUAAAGUUGUUAAUGUUUUAUUUUUGAG